UAUGUGUUCUGUUGGGGAUGAGGUUUUGCUUUUGUUUCUACAGGAGAAGAUAAGUUGUGGGUACCAUCAAAAUUGAUAAAGGUUCGAUUUGAACAAGAGAAACCUCUUAAUUAGAGGAGGUGAUAGCUCAUCAACCAACAUGAACAUCCAAUUUAAACUAACUUAUACCAGUAACACAUGUCUUUUCAUUUAAUCAGAUAAUAACAUGCCAAAAAGGAACAUCCCCAAAAUUAGUCUUGGGGAAAGGUUUUUGUUUUUGUCUUUUAGGAGAAUGAAGGUUAAGGAAUCUGAAGAACACUGGACAAAUAAGACAACUGAAGAAAAUGGACAAAUCAUCUAUCCCAGGAAGCAGAGUGAAAUGGCGUAUGGUCUCUUAUCAGUUUUCUGCAGGAAUUUACGGCCAGGCCUAACAUCAACUGAAGUCUCCAGGAAGAAGUUGGGGCCCCACAACAACAACAAUUCCACGUGGACAAUAAUAACAUCACUAAGCUGACAAACAUCAUCUACAGAUCAGCUUUGAACUACAAGGUGCUCAGAGCAAUUUUGAGAUGACUAGAUGAGAUGAUCCAGUCUCAAAGACUACUUGAAUAAGGACUUGAGAUAAACCCUGAACUUUGGCAUUAUACACAAACUGGAUAAUGAAGGAUAUAGUUACCUUUCCUAGAAUUUGACAAUUAAUCUAAAAUUUUUCUUUCAGGAUAAAGUUAACUUCGCCCAUACCCAGCAGGAAGCAAUUUUAAGAAUAUGACGCCCACAUUCCCAAAGAGGUGGUGUGGGGUGGGUGGUUUUUUGGUCUUUUUAUGGGUUUUGGGUCUGGGAUAAUUUUCAUUGUUUAGGGGGGUUGGUUACAAGUUGUUGUCAAGGGUUAGGAAAAAGACUAAGCAGAUUAGAUUUAAGGUUCUUAUUUAAAAAAAAGAGAGAGAAAGAAAGAA